CUCACUUUACCUCACCUUCUCUUUGGCUGCCAGAUGCAGCAGUGGCUUUUGGUUAAAUCUUGCUUUUCCCAUUACAUCUUGUUUGAAUCACCUCCCCAUUCAUUAGUUGCCUCUUCAUCCCAUUCUUUCCCCCAUGCACCUGAUCCCAGCAAUCAAAAGGAAAGUGGGUGUUAUCAAUACAAUUACAAGCAUCCCACUGAUCACCUUUCAGAUCUUUGCAGAGAAACUACUGAGGUGUAGCAACAGCAUCUGAAAAAGAUGCUUGAGAAGGUGUCCAUUAGACAAGGAUAUUCAGAAGACCAUUCUGGAUGGAUGGGGCUGAGUUACAUGUCAAACCUUAAAGUCAGGUUUAUCAACACGGGUUUUGCAUUUACAUUUGUUCAAGUGGUAAAAGGUUUGUGUUUGUGACAAUACAGGACAUCGCUCAAAACAAUUUGCUCCUGAUCAUUUUGCACGGCAGUUUGAAAGAAAUACCUUGCGUUCAUGAAGAGAACAGGAUUGUGUCACAAAGUAUUUUCCAGCUAAUGAAGUGCUUGUAAAGUGCAGUUGCAAAGUUGGCGCUGUAUCGUUAUAUUAAUGUUGAGUUAUUGGAACUAAUUGUUAUGAGAGUACAUUGAGGGUGACACAUUUUACUGCUGCACUAGAGCCACAUGAUAAACAAAUUACCAGCCACAUAGAGACGAGAAAGAAACAAUGCUAUUAAUGAAGCAUUUUGAAUCCAAUGUAAUUAUUUCUAACUUAUGAGAAACAGAAGCCCUAACAGUGGGGAACCGUAGCAGCCAAUCUGUGUAGUGCACAGUUCUGAAAAUAGCAAUCGGAAAAUGACCUAGCAAAGUUGGUUGAGGGAUAAUGAUUAGCCAAACAGGCUUAAACACUUCCAAAUCUCCAAGAUGUUCAUCAACCUGAAACAUUCACUCCCUGUCUCCCUCCACAGAUGCUGCCUGAUCUCCUGAAUGUUUCUAGCACAUAUAUUUUUGCUUAAUAUUUCCUUUGAAAGUUAGUACCUCCAACAGUACAGCAUUCUUGCAGUGCUGCAUUAGAGCAUCA